UUUCCACUAUAGAUGCAAGAAAAAAAAAAAAGUCCUCCCAUUGUCUGUCUGAUUGUAGCAGCUGAGAUUGAAUAGAGGAAUAUAGAG
rnacentral:snoRNA from 1 species